rnacentral:rRNA from 1 species
CUACGGGUUGCUGCAGUGAGGAAUAUUGCACAAUGGGGGGAACCCCGAUGCAGCAACGCCGCGUGGAGGAUGACGCAUUUCGGUGUGUAAACUCCUUUUAUAUGUCAAGAAAAUGACGGUAGCAUAUGAAUAAGCACCGGCUAACUCCGUGCCAGCAGCCGCGGUAAUACGGAGGGUGCAAGCGUUACUCGGAAUCACUGGGCGUAAAAGGACGCGUAGGCGGGUUGGAAAGUCAGGGGUGAAAUCCUACAGCUUAACUGUAGAACUGCACUUGAAACUUCUAAUCUAGAGUAUGGGAGGGGGAGAUGGAAUUAGUGGUGUAGGGGUAAAAUCCGUAGAUAUCACUAGGAAUACCUAAAGCGAUGGCGAUCUCCUGGAACAUUACUGACGCUAAGGCGUGAAAGCGUGGGGAGCAAACAGGAUUAGAUACCCUGUAGUC